CCAGGAAGGACAGCCAGAGCAGAAGUUGCCUCUGCCUGCUUUAUUAAGCCAGCAACAGCAACGCUGAGUUUCGAGCAGCUGUUUUCGCAGGCCUUCGUCGUUUCUUCACUGCCCUUCUCCGUGGAUUUAAACCUUGGAUUCACCAUAGUGGGAGUUCUCCCAAAGUUCCUUCCAGUGACCUUCAUCUUCCAAACAUCUUUGCCUCGGUCUUCAAAAUAUCAAGUUGCAGAAUGCCAGGAUAGCCACAAAGUAAAAUAGAAGUUCCCCAAAGUUGAAGACUUCCUCCUCUCCCCGCUGCCCCAGAGACGGGAGAAAAAAAAUCAAAGUUCUUCCAAGUCUCUAAGAGAGAGUUGAUCCGAGCCGGACUGUUAGAACCCAGCAGUGAGUUAUAAAUAGAGUGGUGAUAGCAGGCUCUGUACCGAUGCAGUAUGGGACCAUGUUACAGCAUUUCAGCUCUGCCAAUUUAUAAACAAAUAAGAUGCAUUGAAUUACAAAACAAGGCUAGUUACUAUGGCAUGCCUAGGCUUAUGCAGAGCCAUCCAUAUUAAACAGACUGGCAUAGAAAGAGACUGUGAGGAGUGAACUAGGUAGAUAGAGUUGCCAAAUGAGUUUUCAGGCCCCACAAAAUGCCUCUAUUUCAAACAAACUUAAGGAAUCCCCAGUAACUUUGCAGGAGUUGUAGGUUAUAUAGAUUUUCACCUUGUAACAAGGGCACUAAAAACCCUCAUAGGCUACAAUACAAAUCAAAGCUGCCAGACAUGAGUAUUCAAAGGACCAAACUAAACCACAAAACCCAACCACCCUCCUUGCUCUCUUCCUAUCCCAUAUAUCAGUUCAAGAUAAGCACCACUAAUGUGUGGGCACAUAUGACCCAGUAAAGUGUCUAGUAGGCUCUUAAUUAUAUUUGCUUCUGUAGUGUUACCGGACAGUUAUUUUCCUUUGGAGACAUAUCCUCUAAUGAAAGCUAAAUUGGGAAAAAACUUUUCAAGGAAGACCAUUACAAAGUCACAUUCCAAGAAAGAUACUCAGCCUGAAGAACCAGAAGAUUUGACUCUGCAAUGGCAAGUUUUAUGCUCCUAGUCAAAGCAUUUCCUUCAGUUUUGCUAUAGCUUAAGUAAUUUUAAAUGUUUGUAUCUAGUUUAAUUGUAAUUUACUCUUGUGAACUCUAAGAUAGUCCAUCUAUACAUAGGCCAACUCCAAAUUUAUGGAGGUAAAAAAUAAGUCUGGUCUCUGCUGUGAACGUCUCAAGUGUAGGGUGAAGACAGACACCAUGUCACAGACACAUUUGUUAACAGUCAAUCCCACACCCAUAUACAUAACAGAAGAAUCAUUUCUCUUAAGAAAAUUUUAGGAAGUUAGAGCCAAUCAUCAUAGCAGAAUUUUGUACGCCAGCUAAUGCCCUGCCAAGAAGAAAUGGAAUUAAUAGGUUGAAAAACAAAACAAAAACAAAACACAUAGGCUGAAAGUUCUUUAUACAAAAUUAAAUCCCCGAUUAGCUUCUAUUGUUCUUGCAUUUUGCUUUUUUUUUAAAAAAAAGAGCAGAACAAAUCUCUCUCCCACCGAAACGCAUUCCAACUCCAGAUCCAGUCAAGGCAGCUCAGAUUUCCUUUUUUAGGACUUCUGUCUCAUUGCCCCUUUUAUAAGUAAGACGCAUUAAGGGCCUAAGCAAACCCUUAGUCACGAGAAGCCCCAUUAUCUCAGGAUCUAGUGCCAAGUUUGAAAUGCUUAAAAAUGUCCACAUCUUCCAACUAAUGUGUCUUUCAGAAGCAUCAGGAAAUGCCAGAUAAACUGACAGGUUCAACUCUACCUCCUUAUACAUAGAAGCACAAGCUGUACAUGCUCCAGACUUCAGUUUAAAAACCCUUUAAGUUCAGGUGGGUGUUUGUGUAAAAGACAAUCUCCAAGAAGAGACCCUCCUGGUACAGACUCAUUCUAUUUUAAAAUGGCUUUGCUAACUGCAACAAAUUUAAACUUCAUUCUAGUUACCAAAGCUGUAAAUUCACCAACUUUAUCAUUUUACUUCUACACAAUGUGUACGUGGCCCCUAACUGGAAAUAAAGAGCCAGACAGAGACCCAAUUGAAGCAGGUGCAACUAGCAUAGGAGCUGGAUCUAUUUACUCCAUGGGGGAAUUUUGGCCAAACUGUUAGCUCAGAUUGAACAAGUUAUAGUUAAGGUAUUCAUACGCACACUAAAGGCAAUGCUGGCUUAAGAACGAGCAGUAAAAGGAUCCUAUAUAAAGUUCUUCUUAUAUCAAAAAUUGUGAUCAAAUAAUUAACACCAAACGGAGUUCCUACUAAUGGUAGGUAUACAAACAGCAAAAUUAAGCUAGUUCAAAUUGGACCUGAACUAGAGAGAAUGUACUGCAUUCAGCACCAGCUAUAGUAUUUUACAUUCACUAGAAGAAAGUUAACCAGAUACAGUGAAGGCAUUGGGUAGGGUUUCACUUAUAGUGAGUGAUAUUUAUGUAGGAGGAAGCAAGUUUAAUAGGGACCCCAAAAGCUUAUGCCAUCUUCAAAGGAGGAUCGAUUAUUUCCUUAAGAUUCCAUCGAGAGAGGCAGGAUGUCCUGGGAACCUCUCUCCAUCCCAUCAUGGGGCACCUAUAACCUGGAGGUUCCACUUUCCAAAUUAAUUUCCAUCAUCUCUUUUGAUGCAACCAACACCUCUUCCUUAGCGAGUGCCCCUAAGCAAGUGUGUUGGAGUUGUCUCCUGGGAUCUGUAAAUCCAUGUUUGUUUUAAACCAUCUGUAGUUUUAAUUAAGGGUUAUAAGCAUCAUGUUUAGUCUCCAGAGGCUUCAGGACACACAGAGUUGUGUCAUGUGAAGUUCCUUCACUCCCUGUAGUUUGUAGCUGACCAAAAGAGUUCAUCAGCCCCACAGAUAAAGCGAUGCCCAUUCCAGUUAAAACAGGAGGUAAACCUGAGAUGGAAAGUGCUAUACUGGAAGUCUCUUCUGUGGACACUACAUAUAACAACAUGGAUAUUUAAAUGGGGAAAACUCUUCACUCCUUUAAAGAGAGUAGAGUCACACCAGAAUCUGAUCGGUUAGGUCCAACCAUGAUCAAGACACAGUUAACAAGAGCAGUUCUAGUUCAGGUAGAAGUUUGCACCUUUUAUGCUCUUUCGUGGAUACCGGAAAAAUAGUUUUGCUGUAGUUGCCCCUGCAGGCCACAUUCAUUUGUGCUGUGUCAGUCCUGCUGGUUCAGAGGCUCUUUCCUGCAGUAACUGAAAUGCUUUCUAAGGUUUGGACUUAGCAUCUUGAGUCCCUCUCCUACACUCGCCAAGUCUGGGAGUUACAUUUCAACCAAUUUCCAGCAUGGUUUAGCUGGCCAAAACUUUUUUAAAAAUGUGGUUCUACCAUUGGCUGGCCAAAAGGCUUAGCUCCAAUGGUAAACAGUUCAAACACUGCUCCCAAACUGUGUCGAAAGGCCAGAGCUUAAGGCAAAGUACAAAGUUCAAAAAAAUAUAUAUCAGCAACUAUAGGAGACUGUGUCUUGACUUCCCAAAUGGAGAGGAAAAACCCAAAACAAGACUGAUGGGUACGGGCACCUGGAACCCAGAACAGGGAUAAUUUUAACACUAGUUUGGUUUUCUGGAGUUAAAGAGAUCCUACAAAGGGAAAUUUAGGUUAAGUAUUAGUAACAGAUAAGGAAUUUUGUUUUAAGUGGACUGCUCCUUUAAAAUUUUCCUUCAGAGAAGAAAGAGUAAGAGGGAGGGAGAAGACAGAAAUACGGUAGCAAAGAUUUCAAAAUACGAUAGCAAAAAAUAUAACUUUUCCUGGAAGCUGGAAUGAAGUUUAUUCCAAUGAAGAUAGUUCUGCCCCUCCCUAAGGGCAAAGAGUUUGUUACAGGGACUAAAGGUCUGUAAUACCACUUACUAAGAGCCAAAGACAGGUUAACAAAUUAUUCUAGUUAAGAGCAGUUUAAAAAAAAAAAAUGCAAAGCUCCUCCAAUUGUAGUAGCUGACAUAUGGUCUAUACA